AUUGAACGCUGGCGGCAGGCCUAACACAUGCAAGUCGAGCGAGCGGCGGACGGGUGAGUAAUGUAUGGGGACUGCCCGAUAGAGGGGGAUAACUACUGGAAACGGGGGCUAAUACCGCAUACUAUCGGAUAACCCAUAUGGGAUUAGCUAGUAGGUGGGGUAAAGGCUCACCUAGGCGACGAUCUCUAGCUGGUCUGAGAGGAUGAUCAGCCACACUGGGACUGCGACGCGGCCCCGACUCCUCCGGAGGCAGCAGUGGGCAAUAUUGCACAAUUGGCGCAAGCCUGAUGCAUCCCUGCCGCGUGUAUGAAGAAGUCCUUAGGUUUGUACAGUACUUUCAGCGGUGAGGCGUUACCCGCAGAAGAAGCACCGGCUAACUCCGUGCCAGCCGCCGCGGUAAUAC
rnacentral:rRNA from 1 species